AGGUAAUGCAGAAACCAAACUAAUUAUCUACAGCUUAAAGAAAAGAGAAUGAUUUGCAUCGGAAAAUCUAUGUUCAAGGAGAACAUGGAGUUACGCACUUAAAAGGUAAUUUUUCGAUAUAUUUAAGGUGUGAACAAGAAUGCCUUUAUUUUGAAAUUAUUCUGUUCCAACCCAAUUCAAAAAUAAAUAAAUAA
rnacentral:sRNA from 1 species